rnacentral:lncRNA from 1 species
CUCACGCUCACCUGAAGCACGUUCCUCCUCUCUUUUGUUGGAUGAUUUGUCUGUGAAACAUGUUGUCCCCGCUGGGCCAGGCACUGCUAUGUCUCAGAACAAUGAGAGAGAGAGAAAGACGAAGAAAGAGAGAAAAUGACAGAGGCAGCGCGUGAGAUGGAGAAACGCUGGAAGAAAGAGAAACAGGUGGACAGAGGGAGAGAGGAUGAGCAGACAGGGGACACUCACAGGCGCACAGAGGAGACGCAGGAGGAAAACCCAGCCUUAAGAGGAGCAGAGAAGCAGAAAAGGGAACAGGCAAAGACAAGACGGUGAAGAGGAGAUGGAUGAGGCAUCAAAGGGAUGGAGCUCUUGCCUGGCCCUUCACUGUCUCUAGGGUGGAAAGACCUAGACUUCCUG